rnacentral:snoRNA from 2 species
UCAAUGCCGGUGAUGGUGUUAAAUAUACUUUGAGAGCUAAAGUCUCUAGGAAAAAAGAAACAAAUCUGAGGCAUUCU